AUUUCAACCAAAUUAGAACAACACAAAUUCUAGAAAAUUAAGAUCAAAACAUUUUUUUUCAGGUGAAAAUUCAAAGUUUUAUAUGAAAUACAUGUUACACUUGUAUAAUAAUAAUAAUGCAUAUGGCUAGUCGUGUAGCUCAUGUACAAGACACAACCAACAACAUAUUAUACAUCAGUUUUAUAAUUAAGCGCAAAUACUACGCACCUUAGGUGACUUGUAUAAGUGGUAUGUGCAACAACCAACGACACCAAUCUCAUAACCACAUAUUUGAUGAGUACAACACAUAUUAGUGAGGUCUAUCUUGUUAUUAGCCUUAUUACUCCUUCAUUCACUCAAUUGCCCCCAUUUUCCACGCAUAAAAACUCACACCCCUCCAAAACACUCAUUAUAAACCCUUCAACCUUAACCCUUUUUUUUUUUUACCACAAAUAUAAAUUAAACCCACCUCAACUCUUCCUCUCUUCUUACUUCAUUCCUCCAAAACUCACAAAAAAACAACCAAAAUCUUCCUUCUAAUUUUCUCUCUUUCUACCAAAAAUGGAAACUUCAUCAAACAUUACAACUCUUCAACAUUUCAAUAACCCUACUACUACUACUACACUCCUCUCAACCUCCUCCUCCUCAUCGAUAACCCUCUCUCGAUACGAGAACCAAAAGCGGCGAGACUGGACCACCUUCGGACAGUACCUGAAGAACCACCGGCCUCCCCUGGCGCUGAACCGAUGUAGCGGGGCCCACGUAUUGGAGUUUCUACGGUACUUGGAUCAGUUCGGCGAAACUAAGGUGCACAAUCAUAUGUGUCCGUUUUACGGUCACCCUAAUCCUCCUGCCCCCUGCCCGUGCCCGUUGCGUCAAGCGUGGGGAUCGCUUGACGCUUUGAUCGGACGGCUCAGAGCUGCUUACGAGGAAAACGGGGGUAAGCCCGAGAUGAACCCGUUUGGGGCCCGCGCUGUACGGCUUUACUUAAGGAAGUUAGGGAUUCUCAGUCUAAGGCCAGAGGUAUUAGCUAUGAAAAGAAGAAGCGUAAGCGGGUCCCACAACUAAUUCAAAAUACGGAGUAAUACAACAGCAAAUUAACAUAUAUUUGAAUGAUGUUUGCUCCGGUCGCGAUCUCAAAGUUACAUAUUGCAAACAGGGUGAUCGAUUAUGUUAAGAGCAGAAGGCCCGGGAAGUGGUAUGGGGUGGAUAAGUGACUUAUUAGGGUUAGGUUAUUAUCAAUGGACAUAAGGAGUUAUUUGAAUGAACAAUCCAAUGUUUGAUUUAUGGCAAUUGUAAUUGUAUCUUCAUCUAAUAUAUCUAAUUAACUAGUUAGAGAUCUUUUUAAUAAAAUUGAAUGGUUGCUUGUUGUUUUAAUUAAUCAAAAUUAAAAAUCAAUUGGAAUAAUUAAACUGACAUAUUUGUGUGAUAGAAGAAUUUGAAAUUCAUGGUAAAAAGUGACAAGACAAGUUGGGUAAAAUGAGGAAAGUUAAGAAAGAAAAGAAUAGAUGGAUACAUCCGUAAGUUUGUCAGUAACAAAGUACUGCUCGUAGAACAACAGCAGCAGAAUUGAAGGGUAAUCCAUUUUUUGGUUUUUCUUUUUAUUUUCCCCCUUCAUUUCUGCAAGUAUGUCUACCUUUGCAAUUUUUUUGUCAUCAUUUCUUUUUGAUUUGAUGAUCUAAAUUGUGUUGGCUUGAUGGGUAAUUUAGGCAAUAUUGUCUUCGUUUUUGCAUUUAUUAAGGUUUGGUCUGAUCUAAUCUGGCUUGAAUUAAUUUGAUUUGAUCCGAAGUUAAUUGGUGUAAUUUUAACCAUAAAUAAACAAAGAAUUGGUCCGUUUGAUUGU